rnacentral:rRNA from 1 species
AGAGUUUGAUCCUGGCUCAGGAUGAACGCUAGCGGCAGGCUUAACACAUGCAAGUCGAGGGGCAGCGGGGAGGAAGCUUGCUUUCUCCGCCGGCGACCGGCGCACGGGUGAGUAACACGUAUGCAACCUGCCCCUGUCAGGGGGACAACCCGCCGAAAGGCGGGCUAAACCCGCGUACAUGCCACCGGGGCAUCCCGGGAGGCAGGAAAGGCUUCGGCCGGACAGGGAUGGGCAUGCGGCGCAUUAGGCAGUAGGCGGGGUAACGGCCCACCUAACCGACGAUGCGUAGGGGUUCUGAGAGGAAGGUCCCCCACACUGGUACUGAGACACGGACCAGACUCCUACGGGAGGCAGCAGUGAGGAAUAUUGGUCAAUGGUCGGGAGACUGAACCAGCCAAGCCGCGUGAGGGAGGAAGGUACAGAGUAUCGUAAACCUCUUUUGUCAGGGAGCAAUUGGGUCCACGUGUGGGCUUAGCGAGAGUACCUGAAGAAAAAGCAUCGGCUAACUCCGUGCCAGCAGCCGCGGUAAUACGGAGGAUGCGAGCGUUAUCCGGAUUUAUUGGGUUUAAAGGGUGCGUAGGCGGAAUAUCAAGUCAGCGGUAAAAAUUCGGGGCUCAACCCCGUCGUGCCGUUGAAACUGAUGUUCUUGAGUGGGCGAGAAGUAUGCGGAAUGCGUGGUGUAGCGGUGAAAUGCAUAGAUAUCACGCAGAACUCCGAUUGCGAAGGCAGCAUACCGGCGCCCAACUGACGCUGAAGCACGAAAGCGUGGGUAUCGAACAGGAUUAGAUACCCUGGUAGUCCACGCAGUAAACGAUGAAUGCUAAUUGUCCGGAGGGAUUGACCUCUGGGUGAUACAGCGAAAGCGUUAAGCAUUCCACCUGGGGAGUACGCCGGCAACGGUGAAACUCAAAGGAAUUGACGGGGGCCCGCACAAGCGGAGGAACAUGUGGUUUAAUUCGAUGAUACGCGAGGAACCUUACCCGGGCUCAAACGCAGGAGGAAUACAUUUGAAAGGGUGUAGCUCUACGGAGUCUUCUGCGAGGUGCUGCAUGGUUGUCGUCAGCUCGUGCCGUGAGGUGUCGGCUUAAGUGCCAUAACGAGCGCAACCCCUAUCGACAGUUGCCAACAGGUUAAGCUGGGAACUCUGUCGAGACUGCCGGCGCAAGCUGAGAGGAAGGCGGGGAUGACGUCAAAUCAGCACGGCCCUUACGUCCGGGGCGACACACGUGUUACAAUGGCGGCCACAGCGGGAAGCCAGGCGGCGACGCCGAGCGGAACCCGAAAAGCCGUCUCAGUUCGGAUUGGAGUCUGCAACCCGACUCCAUGAAGCUGGAUUCGCUAGUAAUCGCGCAUCAGCCACGGCGCGGUGAAUACGUUCCCGGGCCUUGCACACACCGCCCGUCA